GACAUCCAGAGAACUUAGCAGAGAUGCUUUGGUGCCUUCGGGAACUCUGAGACAGGUGCUGCAUGGCUGUCGUCAGCUCGUGUUGUGAAAUGUUGGGUUAAGUCCCGCAACGAGCGCAACCCUUAUCCUUUGUUGCCAGCGGUUCGGCCGGGAACUCAAAGGAGACUGCCGGUGAUAAACCGGAGGAAGGUGGGGAUGACGUCAAGUCAUCAUGGCCCUUACGGCCAGGGCUACACACGUGCUACAAUGGCGCAUACAAAGAGAAGCGACCUCGCGAGAGCAAGCGGACCUCAUAAAGUGCGUCGUAGUCCGGAUUGGAGUCUGCAACUCGACUCCAUGAAGUCGGAAUCGCUAGUAAUCGUAGAUCAGAAUGCUACGGUGAAUACGUUCCCGGGCCUUGUACACACCGCCCGUCACACCAUGGGAGUGGGUUGCAAAAGAAGUAGGUAGCUUAACCUUCGGGAGGGCGCUUACCACUUUGUGAUUCAUGACUAGGGUGAAGUCGUAACAAGGUAGGCGUAGCGAG
rnacentral:rRNA from 1 species